ACGCUGGCGGCAGGCCUAACACGUGCAAGUCGAGCGGUAGAGAGAAGCUUGCUUCUCUUGAGAGCGGCGGACGGGUGAGUAAUGCCUAGGAAUCUGCCUGGUAGUGGGGGAUAACGUUCGGAAACGGACGCUAAUACCGCAUACGUCCUACGGGAGAAAGCAGGGGACCUUCGGGCCUUGCGCUAUCAGAUGAGCCUAGGUCGGAUUAGCUAGUUGGUGGGGUAAUGGCUCACCAAGGCGACGAUCCGUAACUGGUCUGAGAGGAUGAUCAGUCACACUGGAACUGAGACACGGUCCAGACUCCUACGGGAGGCAGCAGUGGGGAAUAUUGGACAAUGGGCGAAAGCCUGAUCCAGCCAUGCCGCGUGUGUGAAGAAGGUCUUCGGAUUGUAAAGCACUUUAAGUUGGGAGGAAGGGUUGUAGAUUAAUACUCUGCGAUUUUGACGUUACCGACAGAAUAAGCACCGGCUAACUCUGUGCCAGCAGCCGCGGUAAUACAGAGGGUGCAAGCGUUAAUCGGAAUUACUGGGCGUAAAGCGCGCGUAGGUGGUUAGUUAAGUUGGAUGUGAAACCCCGGGCUCAACCUGGGAACUGCAUUCAAAACUGACUGACUAGAGUAUGGUAGAGGGUGGUGGAAUUUCCUGUGUAGCGGUGAAAUGCGUAGAUAUAGGAAGGAACACCAGUGGCGAAGGCGACCACCUGGACUGAUACUGACACUGAGGUGCGAAAGCGUGGGGAGCAAAC
rnacentral:rRNA from 1 species